rnacentral:rRNA from 1 species
UACAGAGGUCUCAAGCGUUGUUCGGAUUCAUUGGGCGUAAAGGGUGCGUAGGUGGGCAGGUAAGUCAGUGGUGAAAUCUCCGGGCUUAACUCGGAAACUGCCAUUGAUACUAUCUUUCUUGAAUACCGUGGAGGUCAGCGGAAUAUGUCACGUAGCGGUGAAAUGCUUAGAUAUGACAUAGAACACCAAUUGCGAAGGCAGCUGGCUACACGAAUAUUGACACUGAUGCACGAAAGCGUGGGGAUCAAACAGG